rnacentral:rRNA from 1 species
CGGUAGCUGGAUAAGAAGCGCCGGCUAACUACGUGCCAGCAGCCGCGGUAAUACGUAGGGCGCGAGCGUUGUCCGGAAUUAUUGGGCGUAAAGAGCUCGUAGGCGGCUGGUCGCGUCUGUCGUGAAAUCCUCUGGCUUAACUGGGGGCUUGCGGUGGGUACGGGCCGGCUUGAGUGCGGUAGGGGAGACUGGAACUCCUGGUGUAGCGGUGGAAUGCGCAGAUAUCAGGAAGAACACCGGUGGCGAAGGCGGGUCUCUGGNCCGUUACUGACGCUGAGGAGCGAAAGCGUGGGGAGCGAACAGGAUUAGAUACCCUGGUAGUCCACGCCGUAAACGUUGGGCACUAGGUGUGGGGGNCCUUUUCCGGGUUUUCCGCGCCGUAGCUAACGCAUUAAGUGCCCCGCCUGGGGAGUACGGCCGCAAGGCUAAAACUCAAAGGAAUUGACGGGGGCCCGCACAAGCGGCGGAGCAUGCGGAUUAAUUCGAUGCAACGCGAAGAACCUUACCAAGGCUUGACAUGUGCCGGUCGGCUCCGGAGACGGGGUUUCCUCCUUGUGGGGCCGGUUCACAGGUGGUGCAUGGUUGUCGUCAGCUCGUGUCGUGAGAUGUUGGGUUAAGUCCCGCAACGAGCGCAACCCUUGUCCCGUGUUGCCAGCACGUUGUGGUGGGGACUCGCGGGAGACUGCCGGGGUCAACUCGGAGGAAGGUGGGGAUGACGUCAAAUCAUCAUGCCCCUUAUGUCUUGGGCUUCACGCAUGCUACAAUGGCCGGUACAGAGGGCUGCGAUACCGUGAGGUGGAGCGAAUCCCUUAAAGCCGGUCUCAGUUCGGAUCGGUGUCUGCAACUCGACACCGUGAAGUUGGAGUCGCUAGUAAUCGCAGAUCAGCAACGCUGCGGUGAAUACGUUCUCGGGCCUUGUACACACCGCCCGUCACGUCAUGAAAGUCGGCAACACCCGAAGCCCGUGGCCCUACG